rnacentral:tRNA from 1 species
CCGUUGGUAGUCUAACAGGUAAGACGGUCCUCCACCUUUAAGGAACUGUUGGGAGUUCGAGUCUCCCCCAACGGA